rnacentral:rRNA from 1 species
AUUGAACGCUGGCGGCGUGCCUAACACAUGCAAGUCGAGCGAUUCUCUUCGGAGAAGAGCGGCGGACGGGUGAGUAACGCGUGGGUAACCUGCCCUGUACACACGGAUAACAUACCGAAAGGUAUGCUAAUUCGAGAUAAUAUGCUUUUAUCGCAUGGUAGAAGUAUCAAAGCUUUUGCGGUACAGGAUGGACCCGCGUCUGAUUAGCUAGUUGGUAAGGUAACGGCUUACCAAGGCGACGAUCAGUAGCCGACCUGAGAGGGUGAUCGGCCACAUUGGAACUGAGACACGGUCCAAACUCCUACGGGAGGCAGCAGUGGGGAAGAUUGCACAAUGGGCGAAAGCCUGAUGCAGCAACGCCGCGUGAGCGAUGAAGGCCUUCGGGUCGUAAAGCUCUGUCCUCAAGGAAGAUAAUGACGGUACUUGAGGAGGAAGCCCCGGCUAACUACGUGCCAGCCGCCGCCGUAAAAC